CCUACGGGAGGCAGCAGUGGGGAAUAUUGCACAAUGGGGGAAACCCUGAUGCAGCGACGCCGCGUGAGUGAAGAAGUAAUUCGUUACGGAAAGCUCCAUCAGCAGGGAAGAAAAUGACGGUACCUGAGGAAGUAGCCCCGGCUAACUACGUGACAGCAGCCGCGGUAAUACGUAGGGGGCAAGCGUUAUCCGGAUUUACUGGGGGUAAAGGGAGCGUAGACGGCAAUGCAAGAUCGGGGUGAAAGCCCGGGGCCCAACCCCGGGACUGCCGUUGGAACUGGGGUGCUAGAGUGCGGGAGAGGCAGGCGGAAUUCGUGGUGUAGCGGUGAAAUGCAUAGAUAUCAGGAGGAACUCCGACGGCGAAGGCGGCAUGCUGGACCGCGACUGACGUUGAGGCUCGAAAGCGUGGGGAGCGAACAGGAUUAGAUACCCGGGUAGUC
rnacentral:rRNA from 1 species